GUACUCACUUCAACAGCACAUAUGCUAAAAUGGGAAUGAUACAGAGAAGGUUAGCACAGUCCCUGCACAAGGAUGACAUGCAAAUUCAUGAAGCAUUCCAUAUUUUU
ensembl:snRNA U6 U6 spliceosomal RNA